AUGGUGGACUGUGCGGCACGUGGCCUCCUUCAGCGGGCAAAUAUCCCGUGCCACCGCCGAAAAUACCAUGCCCCGCCGAAGGUAUAUUCGGUAUUUCCUGUGGUGGGUCUGUGUGUGUCGUCUGUUGGUUGGCUCUGGAUGGAUGAGGUCACGCAAGGCGCCGAUUGGGUGAGAACCCUAGCAUCCACUCCCCGUCGCCGUUCCUCUCAUGCCGCCUACCUCACCGCUGCUGCUCUCCUCGCCGAGCUCGCUCGCCGCCGCCGCAUCCCAUCCCGGUCGCGCUCCCGCCACCAUUCCUUCUUCCCUCCUACCACUCCCCUCCUCCAGGCCUAG
rnacentral:rRNA from 1 species